GAGUCUCAAAGGGUCCUCACUUAUGUCACACACUGGAGAAGAACCAUGCAGAAGACCUGAGAAUUGAUCCAGUACCUGGGCAUCUUGGACAUCUGCUUGGCUGUGGCUUCUGUUGAACCUUUUUUGGUCUUCAAAAGGGUUUCUAUGAAGUUGGAAUCACUCAGAAUGAUUACCUACCUUUUGGCAUCUCAACCAACUGAGAUUCAGGACUUGAAUAUUGUUCAGAAUGGCUAGAAGAAAAAUCGGAAGAAGCUUGGCAAUUUAGUGGCCACUGACCAUCCUGAGAAGAUAGACCUUUUCGUGACCAUACCUAUAAAGAAUCAUGUAAAAUAUUAUACUGUAAUAUUAUUAGUUAUGAUUUAUCAAAAGUUAACCUUUAUGCCUCAAAUAAAAAUUAUGUAAGUGAAAUAUAAUUCCAUAUACCUCUUUACCUUAUGUAUCAUGCUUCCAAAUAUUUUCAAAUGUUUAGUACAAACUUCGACAAAUGGUAAUAAUUAAAGUGCAAAAAUAAAUAAUCAACUAGAA